AGUGGAAUUGCUGGGUCGUAUAGUAAGCUUGUUUAUCUUUUUGAGAAACCGCCAAACUGUUUUCCAAAGUAACUAAACCAUUUUACUUUCCCACCAGCAAU
rnacentral:pre_miRNA from 1 species